UUACAUUUGAUCUGUAAGAAUUCAAUUUUGAAUCAUUUUCAUUUCAAAUUGAUUCACACACAUAGCAGACGCCAACACAUCAAGCGUCAUCAAUAGCGUGGUCUAUGGUGCAAUGCUAUCGCUGGAGUAAGUUGUUUACCUUCAAUUCGGGUAGCGUCAUGAUCGCUGCUGAUUGCCUUUCAAAUAGGUUUUCAGCAUUCUGCUUACACCUUUGGCAUAGUCACAUAUUUCACAAUCCAACAUCAAUUGGUACCAACAGCAGCCCUUCUCUCCAUCAUCCAGAAGGGUCUGAGAUCAGUGUUGGAGAUGAUGGUUCGGAACAACCCAUGGAAAGCUUAUCACUCAUUGAUGCUGUGAUGCCUGAUGUUGUUGCAAGUCGUCAACAGCAAACACAGAGCAAUCAGAAAUCAAAGUGGUAAAGACAGAACCACCAAAUUCCAAUGGAGAUGAACCCAUGCAUUCCUAUCGCUGGGAAGAGGAAACAGGAGUAGAGAUACCUGCCAGCAAAUCAACUGUACUUCGUGGCCAUGAAUCUGAAGUUUUCAUCUGCGCCUGAACCCAACAACUGAUUUAUUGGCUUCUGGCUCUGGCAUUUAAUUCAGAAGGGUGGAACUGAAGUUCCGAGCAACAAAGAUGCCACCUCACUUUACUGUGUGAUGGAACUCUGCUUGCAACUGGCUCUUACGAUGAUUACGCUCGCAUUUGGACAACUGAUGGAAGAUUAGCUAGCACUUUGGGACAGCAUAAAGGACCUACUGUCGCACUAAAAUGGAACAAAAAUGGCAACUAUAUCCUUAGUGCUGGAUUCGACAAAACGACCAUUUGGGACGCUUCAACGAGUCAGUGCACGCAGCAGUUUGCUUUCCAUUCCGCCCCAGCACUCGACGUAGAUUGGCAGUCGAAUGUCAGUUUUGCCUCAUGCUCCACUGACCAGUGUAUUCAUGUUUGGAAGUAAAAUCUAGGUAGCCUACAAUCAAUGAAACUGCGGUGUGCUGAUUGCGGCUGAUUGUUUUAACUAUAAAGCAUAUGUUAUCAAGCGAUCAAUUCAGAUCAGGUGUAUUAUCAAUUUUACAUUUUCCUGGACGCAAAAUUUGUUGUUUUGCUUUAAAACUGGAUCGACAAUCAACAGUAUACAGCCUUGACGGGGGAUCAAUCAGCACAUGGAAAAAUAAGGGUUCAAAUUAUUUA
rnacentral:lncRNA from 1 species